rnacentral:rRNA from 1 species
UACGUAGGGGGCAAGCGUUGUCCGGAAUCAUUGGGCGUAAAGAGCGCGUAGGCGGCCCUGUAAGUCCGCUGUGAAAGUCAAGGGCUCAACCCUUGAAUGCCGGUGGAUACUGCAGGGCUAGAGUCCGGAAGAGGCGAGUGGAAUUCCUGGUGUAGCGGUGAAAUGCGCAGAUAUCAGGAGGAACACCAAUGGCGAAGGCAGCACUCUGGGACGUGACUGACGCUGAGACGCGAAAGCGUGGGGAGCAAACGGG